rnacentral:rRNA from 1 species
GAUCCUGGCUCAGGAUGAACGCUGGCGGCGUGCCUAACACAUGCAAGUCGAACGAAGCGCUUUAUCACGAUCCCUUCGGGGUGACGAUUUUGUGACUGAGUGGCGGACGGGUGAGUAACGCGUGGGUAACCUGCCCUAUACAGGGGGAUAGCAACUGGAAACGGUUGAUAAUACCGCAUAAGCGCACAGGACCGCAUGGUCCGGUGUGAAAAACUCCGGUGGUAUAGGAUGGACCCGCGUCUGAUUAGCUAGUUGGUAAGGUAACGGCCUACCAAGGCGACGAUCAGUAGCCGACCUGAGAGGGUGACCGGCCACAUUGGGACUGAGACACGGCCCAAACUCCUACGGGAGGCAGCAGUGGGGGAUAUUGCACAAUGGAGGAAACUCUGAUGCAGCGACGCCGCGUGAGCGAAGAAGUAUUUCGGUAUGUAAAGCUCUAUCAGCAGGGAAGAAAAAAUGACGGUACCUGACUAAGAAGCCCCGGCUAACUACGUGCC